GACUCCACUUGCUGCCUGCACAGCACGCAUGUGAACAGGAAAAAGGGAAAUAGGUUCCUUUAUAACAACUGCAACCUGUUAUACAUUUGCUGAGCGGAAUCAACCAAAGUUUUCUCUCUCUUUUAGCUUUAGUAUAUAAUUUGUCAGCUGUCCUUGAGUGUAUGUUGCUCUAGAACAUAGGGCCACGAGUUUGACAGCUGUGCUCUAGAACCUCUAACCACUUAGUGACUCCAGUUUUAUUGUGAUGUGUGAACAUGGUCAUUUUUGCUUUUGAGAAUUUCAGUAAUAUAUUCAUGUGGCCUCUGCCUAGAAAACAGAACUGCCCUGAAGAAUACAGAAAUGGGUUAUCCCUGAGAUAAACUGCAAAUACAAUCAUGAUCUGCUUAGUAACCAGAUGUACUUCCCUCCCCUCAAAUACUAUAUAGGAAUUUCCAAGAUAAAGUUAUUGGACAGCAAUUAUUCCGAACUAACAAGGUCAGAGAGCCAUGGCUCGGUGGUGGACAACCUGCCUUGCAUGCAGAAGGUCCCAGGUUCCACCCCCACCAUCCCCAGUUAAAGGGAUCAGGUGAUACAAAACACCUCUACCUCAGAUAGAGAGCUGCCACCAAUCAGAGUAGGUAAUGCUGUCCUUGAUAGACCAGUGGUCUGAUUUAGUAGAAAACAGUUUCAUGAGUUCAUGUAUUUCCCUUACUCUUAAACGUAUUCUGUACAUUACCCUGCCAUAGUCUAUAUUUUCUGUGGGAAAACUUUUUUAAAAUAAACUUCUUUUGGACAAUAA